CCUUAUUGAUUUCCAAAUCCUGAUUUCAUCAAGAUCAAAGGAAGAAAAUCAAGAAAAGAGAAGAAAAUAAAAAGAUCAAGGAAAGAUCAAGAGUUAAUCAUAAAAUUCAGACUUGGUUUAGAUUCACAGGAAGAUCAUUCUUAGAGAAGAAAGAUCUACAUCAAAGAAGGAUGAUCCAGACUGAACUGGAGUGGAUACCCAUAGAGGCCAU
rnacentral:lncRNA from 1 species